rnacentral:rRNA from 1 species
AGAACGUCAAUUUGCGAAUAACGCAAUACAAUACAACUUCAGCAAACGGAUCUCUGGGCUCUCGCAUCGAUGAAGAACGCAGCGAAAUGCGAUAAGUAAUGUGAAUUGCAGAAUUCAGUGAAUCAUCGAAUCUUUGAACGCACCUUGCGCUCCCUGGUAUUCCGGGGAGCACGCCUGUNUGAGUGUCAUGGUAUUCUCAACCUUCAUAAUUUUUGUUUUCAAAGGUUAUUGAAGGCUUGGACUUGGAGGUUUGUGCUGGCUCUCUUAAUUGAAGUCGGCUCCUCUUAAAUGUAUUAGCGUGAACGUUUACGGAUCGCUAUCAGUGUGAUAAUUAUCUGCGCUGUUAGUGUUGAAGUAUCAUUUGGUGUCUCGCUUCUAACCGUCCUUUUGCAAGGACAAAAUUUACUUUGACAUCUGACCUCAAAUCAGGCGGGACUACCCGCUGAACUUAAGCAUAUCAAUAAGCGGAGGA